GUCUUUUUGAUUUUAAUUUAAAGUUUAACCUGCCCAUUGAAAAUUUUUUAAAGGCUGCGGUAUUUUGACUGUACAAAGGUAGCAUAAUCAUUAGUUUUUUAAUUGAAAACUUGUAUGAAUGGUUGAAUGAGAAAUUAACUUUUUUAAAAAAAUAAUUGAAUUUUACUUUUUAAUUAAAAGGUUAAAAUAAAUUUAAAAGACGAGAAGACCCUAUAGAGUUUUAUAAUUUUUAUUUAAUAUUUAAAAAGAUUAAUUAAAAUUUUAUAAAAGAAAAUAUUUUGUUGGGGUGAUAAUAAAAUUUAAAUAACUUUUAUUUUUUUUUACAUUAAUAUAUGAAUUUAUGAUCCAUUAUUGAUGAUUAGAAAUUUAAAUUACCUUAGGGAUAACAGCGUAAUUUUUUUUUAAAGUUCAUAUUAAUAAAAAAUUUUGCGACCUCGAUGUUGGAUUAAGAUUUAAUUUUAGGUGCAGCAGUUUAAAUUUUAAGUCUGUUCGACUUUUAAAUUCUU
rnacentral:rRNA from 1 species